UGGUGGAGCGAUUUGUCUGGUUAAUUCCGAUAACGAACGAGACUCUAGCCUACUAAAUAGUGCGGGUAUAAUUUCGUAUCCGACACUUCUUAGAGGGACUGACGGCGACUAGCCGUACGAGAUUGAGCAAUAACA
rnacentral:rRNA from 1 species